UUUUUGCGUUAAGGAUUGAAGUGGUAUCCUUUUGCAUGGCAAAAGAUUUAACGGAAAGCCUGGCCGAAG
rnacentral:sRNA from 2 species